UUUGAAUUGUCGGGGACACCCUAACGCCGUUCGCACCAACCGGCCCGGAGAAAUCCGGUCGGGGCCCAUGGGCACACCAUGGGGGAUGGUCACAGCCGAAACGGAUACUUCUGCCUUGCAGAGACCAUGGGCAAUCCGCAGCGAAGCCCCUACGUCCCCCCGGGGAUAUGGGGAACGUUCAC
rnacentral:rRNA from 1 species